GAACAUAACCAUACCUUUAGAAAACAUAUCACGGAGACAAGACUUCUAAAAUAGUUUUUUCCACACACAUUUGUUUAUAAAAAGGACAUACUUCGCAUGAUGGGCGGGCCACUGUUGUAGGUGAGAAGUUAGGAAGGUAGGAUAUAGAGUACCACCAUACCUUAUUUACAUUUGUAUGCAGCAUAAAGAAGGACCGGCCAGUUUAAACACGUACGGGUAUACUAUAUAGGAGUCGUUUGAAAAUAUGUA